rnacentral:rRNA from 1 species
GACGAACGCUGGCGGCGUGCUUAACACAUGCAAGUCGAACGGAAAGGCCCUGCUUUUGUGGGGUGCUCGAGUGGCGAACGGGUGAGUAACACGUGAGUAACCUGCCCUUGACUUUGGGAUAACUUCAGGAAACUGGGGCUAAUACCGGAUAGGAGCUCCUGCUGCGUGGUGGGGGUUGGAAAUUUUCGGCGGUUGGGGAUGGACUCGCGGCUUAUCAGCUUGUUGGUGGGGUAGUGGCUUACCAAGGCUUUGACGGGUAGCCGGCCUGAGAGGGUGACCGGCCACAUUGGGACUGAGAUACGGCCCAGACUCCUACGGGAGGCAGCAGUGGGGAAUAUUGCACAAUGGGCGGAAGCCUGAUGCAGCAACGCCGCGUGCGGGAUGACGGCCUUCGGGUUGUAAACCGCUUUCGCCUGUGACGAAGCGUGAGUGACGGUAAUGAGUAAAGAAGCACCGGCUAACUACGUG